rnacentral:rRNA from 1 species
AUUUGUAGAGGAUGCUUUUGGUGAAGUGCUUUCUGAGUUCCCUGGAACGGGACGCCAGAGAGGGUGAGAGCCCCGUACAGUUAGCAACUGAUCCUUUGUAUAGCUCCUUCGACGAGUCGAGUAGUUUGGGAAUGCUGCUCUAAAUGGGAGGUAUAUCUCUUCUAAAGCUAAAUAUAGGCUAGAGACCGAUAGCGCACAAGUAGAGUGAUCGAAAGAUGAAAAGCACUUUGAAAAGAGAGUUAAACAGCACGUGAAAUUGUUGAAAGGGAAGCGCCUAUGACCAGACUUGUCUCUAUCAGUUUUGGUAGUUUUCGGACUGCUUUACUCUGUUAGUACAGGCCAACAUCAGUUUGUUGUCGGGGAGAAAGGCUUAGGGAAUGUGGCUCCCUCGGGAGUGUUAUAGACCUUUGCAUAAUACCCUUCGGCAGACUGAGG